rnacentral:lncRNA from 1 species
UACGCGCCGCCGUUCUCUGAAGCCUUAUCUUCCACGCACGCAGCUUUCCUCUGCUCAAGCUCAAUCGCGGCGUCCCUCUGCUCACUCUCCUGACCGCCAUCUCCAUGGCCGCGCGCACCCUUGCUUCUCUCUCCCUCCUCUUCCUCCUUGUGGCAUUUGCCAGGCCGCUACGCAGCCCCUUGGCUUCAUCUUCCCCCUUCUCCUCUAUGUCGGUGCCUUCUUUGCUCCUCAAAUCCAUGGCACCGCGGCCUCCCAACUUGGACUGCGCCACUCUUUGAUUUCCGGUGGCCGGCGUCUUCCUCUGCGCCGUCAGCUUGCCGGACUCGCGCCAUCCUCCACCGCCCUAGAUUUUUUCCUGAAGCACUACGCCCCUGGUCGAGCUUGCCCAUGGCGUCUUCCCCCUGGCGCCCCUGUGCUCGCGCCCCUGUGGCCGCGGCUCUCCCUCUGGUUGCAGGGACGCGCAAGCCCCAUCCCCAAUGGUGCUCGGCCGCCCAGCUCCCUGCUCCUUCCACUCGCCCGGCCUCUAGUUCCCUGCGCGCGCUCCUCUGCUCGCCGGUUCUCCUUGCCCCAGAACCAUCAGUCCUCUAUCCGGCUUCAACCCCACCGUCGGUCUCUAGACUCUAGUUCGCCAUGGCGCUGAAUUUCUUCCUCGUGUCAUCCCUGCUCCUCGCGCGUUGGGCACCGGGAGACUUUCCCUGCUUGGUCUGGCGUGGGUUGUAGCUGCCGGACAAGCGCACCCCUGUUUCCUUUGUCGUCGGUCGUCGUUUGACCUCGUCUUGCUGCGUGGUUCCUGGUCAUAAUCAUAACCAUCUCGGACUGCGCUGUCGCCCAGAUCUGAAACCGAACUCCCCAACGCCCUGGCGCUCAAUGAAAUGUCCAAGCCAGUCCCUCGCCACAUUCACUGCCUUUGUGCGCACGCUACUGCUUCCGUGCCGCAACAUUCGCCAACUACACGAGGUAAUGUAAAGUUUGGUGAACUAGCAUUGACUCGUGGUCGCCACUGUUCCUAGCGUACCUGUGAAUUAGUCGAUGUCGUGAGUUUGGGUGCCUGAUUUAAGGAAAGAAAUCCCAGGGUUUUGUGUGGAAAAGAAAACGUAGUUCAACGCUUGCCAAAUAUCUAAUAAAAUGCUUGCGCUAGGAUUUAUCGUUGAUUUCGCAGAUCCGAGUCGUUUAUGGUGUGGUGAACUAUUUCACUACUCCCGCUAGCCGACUCAUGAAGUAGAUCGAGUUAGUAUAUUGGUCGCGAUGAAUUCUUUUGUUAGUUGCGCAAGUGUGUGUGGUUAUAUUAAAUGAUUAUUAAAAUGCGUCGUGGGUAGUAUGUGGUGGAUGCAUAUGUCGAAUAGGUUUAAAUUGGCUCUUUGCUGAGGAGUGAGGAGAAUUAGUAGCGUGAGGAAUUGAUUUAGUAUUCCAAACGAUUAUCCGUAAGGCUGUCAUCCUUGAUUUUGUAGGAUAUUUUGGUAGUCAAACCUGAGAUGGUUGAUUAAUUGUUGACAUGUAAAAUAGGAAUAGUGUUUGAUUGGCUAGUGGGCAUUCUAUUAGUGUUGUUAUGCUAAUUCAGUUUUUAUGGUACAUCGAUGAUUAGCCUUAUUAAUUGUAUCAUGUGGUAAAUCCUAGGUUUGGAAUAUAGGUAUAUGUAAAAGGUUAUCGGAUUGGUCUUAGCGAUGCGGUGUAAGGUGAAAUUAGCAAUAUGAAAAGUAAAUUAAUAAAUUCAAAUGUGUGGAUGGUGAAUGUUAUUAAUGUUUCUUUCGAUGGAUUUUGUUUACUGUAGUUAGUGUUAUGUUUGAGUAGUCAUGAUACUCUUCGUUAGAAACCGAUUAAGUGCCCUAGGUAAAUAUCUAGCAUUACCAAAAUAAGUGAAAGCGAAUAAUAUCAAUAAGUUUGUUUCUGUUAAAAUUGAAUCCAGCUAAGUUAAAAUAAUGUAGAUAUGAUACUUAGUGUUAUGUAGACAUUUAGUCUUGAUAUUUCUCCUUAUGUGCAUACAUGUGCAUUAUGCAUAUCAUUCAGGUACGUUAAUUAAUCACGUGAUGCGGAAGACAACCCAAGUCGACCACAGGAUCAUGCAGAGAUUGGACAUCUCCGCAAAACAAUGUCGUCAGUCGGACCAACCUGAAGGGUAGACUGAACAAGUGCUAAGACAAAGGAUGGUUGUCAAGUGCUACAUAUGUCGUGUGAUUGGUGUAAUACCCAAAAUACUAACUUUAAGAAUAUGGGGAAUUCUCCUAUGUUUUAGACAAACCUAUUAUCUAACAAUAUAUUAGAAACAAGAUUCCCUUAAAAAAACUCUUUGGUUGAAUUUUAUAUUUAAUAAAAAUAUAAUAAUAACAACAAAAGUUAUGUUUCACAUGAAUAGAAAACAUUAGAUUUUUAAAUAUGAUAU